ACACAUGCAAGUCGAGGGGUAACAGGAAAGCUUGCUUUUGCUGACGACCGGCGCACGGGUGCGUAACGCGUAUGCAACCUACCUCAUACUGGAGGAUAGCCCCUGGAAACGGGGAUUAAUACUCCAUAGUAUCACGAAUUCGCAUGUUUUUGUGAUUAAAGUUUUUCGGUAUGAGAUGGGCAUGCGUCCCAUUAGCUUGUUGGUGAGGUAACGGCUCACCAAGGCAACGAUGGGUAGGGGGCCUGAGAGGGUGGUCCACCACACUGGUACUGAGACACGGACCAGACUCCUACGGGAGGCAGCAGUGAGGAAUAUUGGUCAAUGGAGGCAACUCUGAACCAGCCAUGCCGCGUGAAGGAUGACGGCCCUAUGGGUUGUAAACUUCUUUUAUAGAGGAAGAAACUUGUCUACGUGUAGACAACUGACGGUACUCUACGAAUAAGGAUCGGCUAACUCCGUGCCAGCAGCCGCGGUAAUACGGAGGAUCCAAGCGUUAUCCGGAUUCAUUGGGUUUAAAGGGUCCGUAGGCGGGUCUUUAAGUCAGUGGUGAAAGCCGACAGCUCAACUGUCGAACUGCCAUUGAUACUGGAGACCUUGAGUACAAAUGAAGUAGGCGGAAUGAGUCAUGUAGCGGUGAAAUGCAUAGAUAUGACUCAGAACACCGAUUGCGAAGGCAGCUUACUAACAUGUAACUGACGCUGAGGGACGAAAGCGUGGGGAGCGAACAGGAUUAGAUACCCUGGUAGUCCACGCCGUAAACGAUCAUCACUCGCUGUUGGCGAUAUACUGUCAGCGGCCAAGCGAAAGUGUUAAGUGAUGCACCUGGGGAGUACGCCGGCAACGGUGAAACUCAAAUGAAUUGACGG
rnacentral:rRNA from 1 species